UUUGUCGGCCAUACUAAGGCUAAAGCACCGGAUCCCAUUUCCGAAGUUAAGCGUCUUAAGGCGUGGUUAGUACUAAGGUGGGAGACCGCUUAGGAAGGAAUUAAUAAAAAAU
rnacentral:rRNA from 1 species